AUGGCUCCCGCCUCCCGCCCGCCGACGGCGACGCCGCUGGCCGCAUCCUCGUCCCGGAUAGACUCGCCAUCGCUGAAGGCAGCCCUCGCAAUGGCUCUCAUCCACUACAAACGCCUCCCCUCGACAACCGCCGCCGCCGCGGGCACCUCCUCCCCGCCUCUUAUCCACUGGAAGCGCAAGGCUAAGGAGCGGAAGCGCGAGAUCCUCCGCCUCCGCGAAGAGCUCAAGCUCCUCCAAGAUGGGGUGCGAGGGGAGGCGAUGGAGCCGCCGGUUGCGUCAUGCCGCUGCCACUUCUUUGACGGGUGCAGCGACCUGCAGCCGCCGCCGCCAACGGGUGGAGGAGAACAUUGGGUCGACGAGGUGCUGCGGAGGAGGUUCCUCAGAUUGGCGCGGUGGAAGGAGAAGCGACGGAGACUGGAUCGAUCUCUUCCCGUCACUAGUUUGAUGGACUUCAAUAGCGAGGAUGAGAUACAACAGCUUAGCUUGUCAACUGAUUUCCUGGUGGAGCUAUCAGAUGGGAUUUUUGCGAAAAGAGAACCUUGCUCCACAUUUGGUACAUUCUCUCACCAAGCAGUAGACUUCAUUUUGGCUUUAUUGAAGAACAUUCUAUCGUCGAAAAGGGAAAAGGAACUGGUUGAGGAGAUAAUUGAUGGUUUAGUGACACGUUUGAUGAAAAGGAUGUGCACCAUUCCUGAAAAUGCUGGUACUUCAGAUUCAGGGCCAGUUGACUGCUCAGAUGCCCAAUUCAAUGUGCAGCACUUGUUCCGCAAGUUAGGAAAUGAAGAGUUCAUUGGUCAGCGGAUAAUCCUUGCAGUUUCUCAAAAGAUCUCAAAUGUAUCAGAAAGCUUGCUUCUCUUAGAUCCGUUUGAUGAUUCCUUCCCUGAUAUGCAUGGCAAUAUGUUCAUGUUGAUACAAUUAAUCGAGUUCCUCAUAUCUGAUUACAUGAAAAUUUGGCUAUGUUGCGAGCAAUUUGACAGAAAAAUAUUUGAAGAAUGGGUGAGAUCUAUUCUGAAGGCACGCAAAGACCUGGAAGUCCUAGAAAACAUAAAUGGGCUGUAUGUAGUGUACAUUGAGCGAGUGGUCGGAAGGUUGGCGAGGGAGGUGGCUCCUGCUGCUCACGAGGGAAAGCUGGACCUGGAUGUCUUUUCCAAACUCCUGUGCUGA
rnacentral:rRNA from 1 species